GCAGACAUGGUGUAACGGUUAGCAUUCUGUCUUCAAUAAUCACAGUAUCCGAUAAUACUGACAGAGAUCGGGGUUCGACUCCCUGUGUCUGCA